rnacentral:rRNA from 1 species
AUUGAACGCUGGCGGCAGGCCUAACACAUGCAAGUCGAGCGGAUGAAGGGAGCUUGCUCCUGGAUUCAGCGGCGGACGGGUGAGUAAUGCCUAGGAAUCUGCCUGGUAGUGGGGGAUAACGUCCGGAAACGGGCGCUAAUACCACAUACGUCCUGAGGGAGAAAGUGGGGGAUCUUCGGACCUCACGCUAUCAGAUGAGCCUAGGUCGGAUUAGCUAGUUGGUGGGGUAAAGGCCUACCAAGGCGACGAUCCGUAACUGGUCCGAGAGGAUGAUCAGUCACACUGGAACUGAGACACGGUCCAGACUCCUACGGGAGGCAGCAGUGGGGAAUAUUGGACAAUGGGCGAAAGCCUGAUCCAGCCAUGCCGCGUGUGUGAAGAAGGUCUUCGGAUUGUAAAGCACUUUAAGUUGGGAGGAAGGGCAGUAAGUUAAUACCUUGCUGUUUUGACGUUACCAACAGAAUAAGCACCGGCUAACUUCGUG